AUUCUUUCAGUUUCCAACCGGCAAAUCCACUCAUAAGGUUUCUUUUUGGUCUGGAGCUAUAGAAGAAGCCACUUACCCAAGGUACCAUCCACGCAAUGGGACUGAACCCAAAACUACAUGACUGGGAAGCAGACUGCUUAACCACACAGCCAUACCCAUAUCAAAAAAUCUUCUCUGCUGUAAUUCAAUGUUGAAGAAUUAUUAAAUCAAACCAAUUCCAUCUGUUAGUUAUCUUGUCUGUCAAUAACUUCCAGAGCAGACAAAAAAUCCAGUCCUAUGUUACACAAGAAGUUAAAGAGUUAAGCAUGGCUAAAGUAAAACAUGGCACAGGAAAUUAAUAUAGUGUGUUUAUGCAAUAGAAGCCGAAGAGGUAGAAGGAAAAAUUAAGUGUCUUUGGUUACAAAAAUCUGGAAGCAAUGGGAAAAUUUGGUUAUCAGAUCUGAAUUCAGCAUCACUGAUAUGGCAAGAAAUAGUAUUCUCAGGUUUGUAAGAGAAAAGAAAACAAAUUGAAAUUUAUUAUGUUGUGUAACAAGGUUUUUAUAGAGAUUUUAAUUAGAAACAUGUUAGAAAGAGGGGCUUCACUUAAGCUGGCUGAUUUUAAAAGAAAGAUUUCAAUAGAAAAAAAAUGGAGAAUAAGCGAAAUACUUUUUUGAGCAUUUUUAUUACAAAUAUGACAGUUUAUUUCUCAAAAAACAAAAACAUGGAAAAAGAAACAUACAAAAAUAGUUGUAACAAUCAGUCAUAUUACAACAAGAAUUGGAGAAAGAUGGCUCAAAAAAAAAAAAAAAUGGAAAGGAAAAUUUUAGAUAGUAAUCUCACAAUGUAUAUUAGAUUGUA